rnacentral:rRNA from 1 species
GAUGAACGCUAGCGGCAGGCUUAACACAUGCAAGUCGAGGGGCAGCGAGAGAGUAGCAAUACUUUUGUCGGCGACCGGCGGACGGGUGCGUAACGCGUAUGCAACCUACCUUAUACAGGGGGAUAACCUUUCGAAAGGGAGACUAAUACCGCAUAACAUUACUUUGAGGCAUCUUGAGGUAAUUAAAUCUUCGGAGGUAUAAGAUGGGCAUGCGUAGCAUUAGCUAGAUGGUGCGGUAACGGCGCACCAUGGCGACGAUGCUUAGGGGUUCUGAGAGGAAGGUCCCCCANACUGGUACUGAGAUACGGAUCAGACUCCUACGGGAGCAGCAGUGAGGAAUAUUGGCAAUGGUCGGAAGACUGAACCAGCCAUGCCGCGUGAAGGAGAAGGCCCUCGGGUUGUAAACUUCUUUUACCAGGGACGAAUAAUGACGGUACCUGGAGAAAAAGCAACGGCUAACUACGUG